GGCGGCGGGGCGAGGGGUGAGGCCCAGCUCCUCGAGACCCCGCGCCGCGGCGAAGCCUCCCCGGCGCCCGCGCGCGGUUACUUGGCUGCGUGCACGCCCCUGGCACAGCGGCUUAUACUGAGGCCCAGGAUCAGCCCGCGAAAUGUGGACCCGGUCCUGCACGCGGGGUGAUAGGUGAGGGUGUCGGGUGAACUUGAGUAGAGAACAGCAAGUGGAUGGGAAAGAACUUGACAACACAAAACUCAUUUACUAAUGGACUGGUUUUGGGUUUCUCUUCUCUGAGUCCGCAAAUCUCUCUGCCUGGGCCCCAGGCCUAUUCAGACCUCGCGGGGAGCGGCGUCCCCCAGGAGCAGGUGGGCUGCUGCUCCGGCGCCACGCCGGUCUUCGGAGCCGGAGUUCCCAAGGGUCGAGAAUUUUGGCACUUCAGCCCGGACUUGGGGAGUCUCCGCACUGCCCCAGAGCGAUGACACUAAUUUAUUGAAGAAACACCUCUCUAUGCCCUCCCCUUCCAAAUAUUUGUAGGUAGAAUAGGAUCCUCACCGUCGUUUUGGAUGGUGAAAGAAUACCAAGAAAGCGGCCAGGGAGCCCCCAAGUAUCUUGCUCCAAGCCAGAAGGGAAACAACAGGGUCCCAGCUAGGGGUGUUUGCAUCAAGGCCUAUGUCAACCCAGCCUAGAAACCCUAGCAACUGCUAAUGCUAUCCCAUUGAAUGCUUUUUCAUCGGCUAAUUAUACGCACACGGCCAUUACCUGCGCAGAGGAGGCACUGAAGAGCCAAAACCCAGCAUCGGCCGCUCCUUGCCAGGGGUGUUCCCUCCCGAGCCGCUCAAGGGUAGCAGCCGGCUGGCUAGAGUUACUUGUUACCUUUAAAUUUCCAACGUAUCUCUGCUUUUCGUGCGAUUUGCAUUGACAGCAAAGGUUUUAUGUUAGCAGAACAACUCAAACCUUUCUGUGUGCGAUUUAAAAUGGAUCAUUUGGUUUAGGUGGUUUGUGAAUUCAUAUCAUUUUACCUCUUUUAGUGGUUUUCAGUGGGAGGUUCCAUUUUGGGAAACCUUAUAUAUCCGAGCCAAUAAUUAACAUUUAUAACAAUUGGUUCCCCUAACCAAGGAAUCGAAAUAGCAGGUAGGCUCCUUGGUAUAAAGUGCAUAGCACUUUCCCUUUCCAGUUACGUGAUCUAUUGGAUUAAGCGGGAGGAAAAAAUGUCGGCGGGCCGAGUCACGGCCUCCGAGGAAGAGCACCUCUUCUCUUCUACCGGAUUCCCGCAAUCACAGCUUCUACACGUGGUCUUCCCAGUUGAUGCCGAUGUCUAGUACGUCCUGGUUCCUUUUGAAGACAGAUAAAAAGAAGUGGGUAGGGAGGUCUGGAGGAAGGGUAGGGGGGGAAAGGUGGUCCUAUUCGUGUCUAAUUGCCAUCUCUCUGCUCUCUGUCAUCCUCUGUAAAUUUAUACCUGCCCUUGUUUGUCCAGGCUAUGCCUCAUUUCCUUAUACAAAAUUGUUAAUUACAAAGCACACCCCACACUCAACAUACUGUUUGUCUUUUAAGAGACGUGAUUGUGCUUAAAGACCCUCCCCCACUGUAAUUGUGUGCACUUGCUCCAGUCUUUAGGGUAUUAACUGUAUUAACUGAUUUUUAGAGACGGGUUUAAGCCUCCGUUCCGGUCCUCACACAGCUGCCAUGUCAAUAAGGACUGUUCCAAGCAGAGACAUUCCUUCUGGGAGGACACUGCAGCUCCUUAAGACCUCAUGUGAAACAUCAUAAGCACUAAAAUAAGACAGUGAGGGAAAAUUACCAGCCACAUGGCUCUGGGCUUAGCAGUGCCAGGCUUCCAGUUUAGAAAGUCACUGGGCAAACUAUAUGGCAGAGGCUCUUUAGAAAGAAUGCACACCCAUUAAAUGCAUUU